UACGUAGGGGGCAAGCGUUGUCCGGAGUUACUGGGCGUAAAGCGCACGCAGGCGGUCGAUUAAGUUUGGAGUGACAGUUGGUGGCUUAACUGCCAAAGUGCUUUGAAAACUGAUCGACUUGAGGGCUUCAGAGGGACACGGAAUUCCGGGUGGAGUGGUGAAAUGCGUAGAGAUCCGGAGGAACACCGAAGGCGAAGGCAGUGACCUGGGGAGUACCUGACGCUCAGGUGCGAAAGCCAGGGGAGCGAACGGG
rnacentral:rRNA from 1 species